GUUUCAAAGCUUUGACAUCAACAAGGAUAACGACAAUAGGUAUGUUCAACUAUGUUAUCUACAAAACUGGUAUUUACAAUAUUGUUCUUUCUGUGAUAAAUUACUUACAUUACUUUUGCAUUUAACAAAAACAUAAAUGAAGAAGGAAGAAGACAAAAAACAAACUAGAUUUUAACAAGAAAGAAUCAUUAUCCUGCCAACAG
rnacentral:lncRNA from 1 species